rnacentral:tRNA from 1 species
GGGGCUGUAGCUCAGUGGUAGAGCGCUUGCCUUGCACGCGUGAGGCACCGGGUUUGAUCCUCAGCACCA